AGUGAACGCUGGCGGUAGGCCUAACACAUGCAAGUCGAACGGCAGCACAGUAAGAGCUUGCUCUUACGAGUGGCGAGUGGCGGACGGGUGAGGAAUACAUCGGAAUCUACUUUUUCGUGGGGGAUAACGUAGGGAAACUUACGCUAAUACCGCAUACGACCUACGGGUGAAAGCAGGGGAUCUUCGGACCUUGCGCGAUUGAAUGAGCCGAUGUCGGAUUAGCUAGUUGGCGGGGUAAAGGCCCACCAAGGCGACGAUCCGUAGCUGGUCUGAGAGGAUGAUCAGCCACACUGGAACUGAGACACGGUCCAGACUCCUACGGGAGGCAGCAGUGGGGAAUAUUGGACAAUGGGCGCAAGCCUGAUCCAGCCAUGCCGCGUGGGUGAAGAAGGCCUUCGGGUUGUAAAGCCCUUUUGUUGGGAAAGAAAAGCAGCAGGUUAAUACCCCGCUGUUCUGACGGUACCCAAAGAAUAAGCACCGGCUAACUUCGUG
rnacentral:rRNA from 1 species